rnacentral:pre_miRNA from 1 species
GUCCUCCAGCUAAGGUGCAUCUAGUGUAGUUAGUGAAGUAUUCAAAGUCUACUGCCCUAGUUGCCCCUUCUGUCUGGAGGG